UACUCCUCCCCCAUCAUUCCAUCACUGCCCAUUUAAGGACUGUAUCACCUGAAAAAGCUCUACACAAAGUGGAGCCUGUCUAAUCUAUGUCUAUUGAAACACCCAUCUGAUCCCCCUUCUCUGAACCGACCAGAGCUCGAUGGAGGACGACGGCGACCGGAGAAACUCUCCACCGCUGCCUUCCACCUACGUGACCCUGGUCCAACUCCAGCAGCGAUGGCUCCAAGAGAAACAGCGAAAGCAGAAAGAGGAAGAGGAGAGGGAAGAACAAGAGCGCAAACAGAGGAUGCAGAAAGAACAAGAAGAUGAGGAAAAACGAAAGCGCCAAGAAGAAGAAGAACAUCAACGAAAACAAAAACAAGCGAACCUCCAGAAAAGACCAGUCCAGUCGACCGCUACUUUCCAUCGGCGAGAUCAUCGCCCGCCUUUGAAAAGUUCCGCGCAGUUUAGGGCGGUUGGGGUUAGCGAUGGGGAAUCAAAAAGGACCGAUGAUUUGAAGCAGAAGAAGGAGGGGUAUAAUGAGGGGAAGAAUUGGAAAAUGAAGGGAAAACCUAGGGCGGAGGAAGACCUAAGUGGAGGUAAGGAACAGUUGCUGCCUGAAGAAAAGGAGAAUGUAGUGGAUAAAAUUCAUGUGGUUUCUACUGAAAGAGACUACUCUGAAAAGGAAAGGGUUACACGUAAAUGCAAGAAAUUGAGGAAUAAUAAGAGGGGGAAAGCUAGGGUAGAGGAAGACGUAGCCAUUGGUAGGGAACGCUUGUCGUUAGAAAAGGAGGUUGAGCCUGCUGAGAAUGAUGUUGUUCCAGUGGUUUCAACUGAAAGAAGGUGUGAAAAGGAAAUUGUGGGGAAAUGUGAGGAGGGGGUUUCAUCCAGUAGAUGGAAAAGAGGGAAUGGGAAUUAUCGCAGGGGUGUGAAAAAUAAGGGGAAUAAUAAGAGGGUAGAGGAAGAAGACCUGAUAAACAUUGGUAGGGAGGAGAUGUUGUCAAAAAAGGAGGUUGAAGCUGAGAAUGUUGCGGCGGUGGUUUCAACCGAACGAGAGGGUGGUGGAUUAGAGGAGGGGAAUGGGAAGAAUUUGGUGGUGAAUGGUAGUAGGGUUUGGCAGGAGAGAGUGGGGGGUACGGUGGUGGAUCGGCCGGAGAGAGUUUUGGGCAAGUUUGGGGGUCUUUCGGUGAGAGGAGGAGGGUAUGGGAGAAAUGCCGGGAAUGUGAAUGGCGCUCCGAGGAGGUACGGGCGGGAUUAUGGGAGGGGUAAUAGCCGGAGACUGCAGAGGCCGAGGGAUUCGAACUUGGUGUGGGUUAGAAAGGAGGAAGGGGACACUUCAGAUGCCAAUGUUGCCGAAGUUUGAAGCUCGGGUAAUGCGGAAUUUGUCGUUCUUUCAAUGUGUUUUCUAUUUGGGUAAUGUUUAUCUUUGGUGACGUAACGCGGGUACUGUUAUUGUUGACAAUCGCUUUGUAGUGUAGUCAAGUUGUGUAACUAUUAUUAACAUUGCGAAUGAAUAAUGUGUUGGACAGUGUAGUGAAAUUUAGUGGUUGUUUCCCCGGAUGAAAGAGCUGAAAAGAGAUUAUGGUAUCAUGCAAAAUGUCUAAAACUAGUUGAGGAAAACAGAAGAUUCAGAAAAAGUUCUUUUGCGGGGCAGCUGAUGGAAGCUUUGUAUUGAGGUGUGCUGACGAAGGCUGGAGAAGCUAGGAGAAACCAGUACAGAUGAGGCCCGAGGAAACCAGUUUUUGCAGAAAGGAUUUCUUGUACAUUUAUCUAUCACUAUUUCUGAUGACUUCCAUCGAGUUUCCUUUCGAAAAUGGUUGAUUGGAACAGAGAUGUUAGUUGGGUGCCAUGCAGAAAGGAUUUUUUGUACGUUUAUCUAUCACUAUUUCUGAUGACUUCCAUUGAGUUUCCUUUUGAAAAUGGUGGAUUGGAACAGAGAUGUUAGUUGCGUGCCAUUGGCAAUGAGAAUUGUAGAGAAUUGACUUAUGGGAAUUGUACCAUUAUGCUCUACAGCUCAAAA